rnacentral:rRNA from 1 species
UAAUUGAAGAGUUUGAUCAUGGCUCAGAUUGAACGCUGGCGGCAGGCCUAACACAUGCAAGUCGAGCGGUAACAGGGGAAGCUUGCUUCUCGCUGACGAGCGGCGGACGGGUGAGUAAUGUAUGGGGAUCUGCCCGAUAGAGGGGGAUAACCACUGGAAACGGUGGCUAAU